AAAACCAUCUCUACUCUGGUCAACACCGGGCAACUGAACCAUUCCUGCACAUUACUUUUUAAUGUAGCCGGCGCCAUUCCCGACCCAUCUUUAUAGUGGCCAGAAAGCCAAGAGCGUAAGUGUUCUACACAUAGGGCGCCUUCAAAUUUUUUACUUUAGCAGCGCGAUCUUCCUUCAAGGGGAAGUAUGUUCUCUCCUAGAAACACUCCCGCCUUGGAGAAGGGGUUGAGUUCGCAACUCCACUUACAGACUACGGAGGAACCCCAGGGUCAAACCAAACCAAACCAAUUCUAGCCAGUUGCUUAGCGCGGUUCAAGUUGCUUAGUGCGCUGGAAGCGGCAUUUCAGGCCUUCCAACAUCUGGCUCGAACCUUCUCAGAGUAUUCCAAGGAUGGAAUACUCUCACUUGAGCGCUGCCGAGGGUUCCGCUUGAGGGAAACAUGAGUUUGUGAAGACACUCUGUCAUCCAGGCUGGAGUACAGUGGUACGAUCUUGGCUCACUGCAACCUCUGCCUCCAGGGUUCAAGCGAUUCUCCUGCCUCAGCCUCCCAAGUAGCUGGGAUUACAGGGUCUCACUCCGUCACUCUGCAGGAGUGCAGUGGUGUGAUCAAUGGCUCACUGCACCUUGACCUCCUGGGCUCAAGCAUCUUCUCCACUCAGCCUCCCAACAGCAUGAGCCACCAUGCCUGGCUAAUAAAUUGAUACCAACUAUCGCUCUACUCAGCUACCUAAAAAGGUGGUCUUCACAAGUUUUAAGAACAUUAAAUGACACAAUAUUGGCACAUAAUCAAUAUUUUAUCAUUUUAUAUUUGGAAAAAAAAUGGGAAGCUGGGGUAAACCAGUUUCUAAAUAAAGCUAGUGAAACUUUAAUUCAUUCAAACACUAUGGUAGUUAUGUUGAUGAUAAGUAAACAUUAUUAUUUAUACUGUUUCCUGAGGUGAUCCAGAAACUAUUGUUGUUAUAGUAGACUUGCUACUAUAUACAUUUACUAUCCCUGCAAAUGUGCUUUGGAAAUACUCAAAAUAAAAACAAAAAUUUUAA